AAGCCUCACCGCCUCCGGUGGCUGUUUCUUCUCUGUUCCUUUCAUCUCUCGUCGAGAACCAGAGCUCUAAUUUCUCCGACUCAACAAUCUCCCGGAGUAUCUCCGGAAUCAAUCUAGAUUUCUAUUCGAAUUUAUUCUAUUUGAUUUUCUGGUGGUUGGAGGACUGUGUAUUGCGUUCGCCGACGGAAAUUGAGUCGGAACAUCUGACUACGUAGAGCGAGUUUCAUUUGGUUCGGUGGAGUGUGCGACAAGAUAUAGGCAUCAAGUUGCAGAAGGCUUUGGUUUUCUGAUAAGACAAUGGCCAGAUGGGACGAGAUUUUUUCUCUUCCAGUACAGAAUCCUUCAACCUUGGAAUUUUCUUCCGCUGAUCUUGUGUGGUCUAAGGUAGAAGGAUGGCGUGACAAUGUGGAUAGAGUUGCAGUAAUCCCUUUUGCUAGAGUUGAUGAUUUUGUACGUGGCGAAUCUUCAAAUAAAGAAUGUCCAACCAGAUUUCAUGUUGAAGCAAGGCGACGACGAGCAUUGAAAGCACCUUUCAAACCGAAGGUUGAUGGUGUACUGGAGUACAUUAUGUAUUGGUGUUCGUUUGGUCCUGAUGACCACAGGAAGGGGGGAGUUGUACGACCCAGUAGAAAUACUUAUAUACCAAAGAAGAAAAAUGCUGGACGGCCAAACACUAAAAGGGGUUGCACCUGCCACUUCAUUGUCAAACGUUUAAUUGCUGAACCAUCUAUUGCACUGAUCAUAUAUAAUGAGGACAAGCAUGUAGACAAGAAGGGAUUGCCAUGCCAUGGUCCUCAAGACAAGAAGGCUGAAGGUACUCGUGCUAUGUUUGCACCAUACAUCUCUGAAGAUCUUCGUUUACGUGUAUUGUCGCUUCUAUAUGUUGGCGUUUCUGUGGAGACCAUUAUGCAGAGACAUAAUGAAUCGGUGGAGAAACAGGGUGGUCCAUGCAACCGUGAUGACCUUUUAACUCAUAGAUAUGUAAGAAUACAAGAGAGAAGCAUCCGGCGUUCCACUCAUGAGCUUGAUGAAGAUGAUGCAGUAAGCAUUAACAUGUGGGUUGAGGGCCAUCGUAGUAAUGUUUUCUUUUAUGAAGAUUUUACUGAUACAGACACCUUUACUUUGGGAAUUCAAACAGAGUGGCAAUUACAACAAAUGAUACGAUUCGGCAAUCGUGGCCUUCUUGCUUCAGAUUCCAGGUUUGGAACAAACAAGUUGAAGUAUCCAGUUCAUAGUCUGGUAGUAUUCAAUUUAGACUACAACGCAAUUCCAGUAGCUUGGAUUAUAUCACCAAGAUUUUCCAGUGGAGAUGCCCAUAGGUGGAUGAGGGCUCUUCAUAGCAGAGUUCAAACCAAAGAUCCUACAUGGAAGUUGGCUGGCUUUGUUGUGGACGAUCCUCUUGCUGAUGUACCGACAAUCAGGGAGAUAUUUCAAUGUUCUGUUUUAUUAAGCUUUUGGCGGGUCCGUCAUGCAUGGCAUAAAAAUGUACUGAAGAAAUGUGUGGAAAUUGAGAAGCAAGCUGAGAUAUUAAGACAGCUUGGGCAAGCGGUGGAUAGAGUUUGCCGAGGUGAUGAAAAGGUGGAUUUAUUUGAACAGCUGAUUAAAGAUCAAGUUGAUGAUCCAGAUUUAAUUGACUACUUUAGGGCAACCUGGUGUCCUAGACUAGGUUUGUGGACUACUGCACUAAAAGACCUUCCACUCACCAGUCUGGAAACAUGUGCUGCAAUGGAGUUUUACCACAGCCAAUUGAAGUUACGAUUGCUAAAUGAAAAAGAUGUUGAUGUUUAUCAGCGCACGGACUGGUUGGUCUACAAGCUGGGUACAAAGGUACAUUCUUACUUCUGGCUUGAUGAGUACUCGGAGAAGAAUAGUUUUUCACGGUAUUGGAAAGAUGAAUGGAUGAGUGGCUUGACAUAUUGGCGCAGAGCAUUGAAAAUUCCAGACUCUGAUGUUGUCAUUGAAGGAAAUAUCGCAAAAGUCACCGACCAAAUUACUCGAGACAGGAAAUUUGUUGUUUGGAAUCCUGGUUCGCAGUUCGGUCUUUGUGAUUGCAGAUGGGCAGAAAUGGGUAAUCUAUGUGAGCAUAUCUGCAAGGUUAUUAGCAUAUGUCGUAAGAAAGGGACUACAAAACCAUCAAUCAGCUCAUUGCAGUACCAGAAGGCCUUGACCGACCUGCUGCGCUGUCCACCUCACGAUUCGUUAAUACGUGAUCAUGCUGUAUCGUUUGCAAUGUCUGUCCAGAAGCAGUUGAAUGUACUAAUCAGCAUGGGGAGCAACCAAGAGUCGAGGAGUCCUUUCCAGGAGCAUAAAACUGACACGGAAGUAUCUACUGGAGAGACAGAAUAUCUGAGGGAUAUUGUACAUAGAAACAAGUCUGAGUCGAACCAGAACAAGAGUGACCGUGCCUUGGUACAAGAAGCUGCUUCUAAUUAUAUUACCGAUAACGCCAGUAGCUUGCUUAUUGAUUCAACUGUGUCUGGAAAGCAUGUGAAUGGCGAAACUGCCGGGGAGGACUGCCCUUGUACUGAGAUGGACGUCGAUACAAUGUCAAUCUCUAUAUCGCCACAACGACUAAAUUCCGUUGAAGAGGUUGUCGACGGUAAUUCCUUUGAACAAAGUACAAAUACAGUACAAAUUGAUAUGGAGUACGAAAGUGUACCUCCUUCCAGUUACAAUACCAUCUUUGUUGACAGUGAACGUCAUCAAGAAAAGAUCGAUGGCAUUCUCAGUGAUGCUCCUGAGCCCACAAUUGCUUCAUAGAGAACAAUACCUCUUCUAUUCCACGAACAAAAAUGACAUUUGUUCAGUCCUUCUGAGAAGAAAAACCAGAUACCAAAGAAGUUUACACCAUACCAUAUCAGAUAUGAACUCUGGGAACUCUUCUGAGCUUAAGUAGGUUGUUCUGAGUUGAACAAAUAUUGAUCCUAAAUUCUUCGGCGCACCGUUCUUGCCACGGUUAAUGAUCAAGCAGCUCACAAUUUAUUCUGCAUCUCAUCUUCGUGGCCACAGGAGCCACCGGGAAAAGAAAUGAGAUGACAUGAGGUAGAGUUUAGGAGCGAUGUGGAGCGGUUAAUUUGAUUCGUGUUAUGUUCGAUUUCAUCAAGGUAAAUCUUAAACUUAGAAGUAUUGCAAUUUUUACCUUAAACUUAAAUAAAUAUCGCAAUUUGUAUGUUUCGAUA